rnacentral:tRNA from 1 species
GGGCGGUUAGCUCAGUGGUAGAGCGGCUGGUUUACACCCACUUUCAGGAGUAUUUUCUCGCGUCCG